rnacentral:rRNA from 1 species
GAUGAACGCUGGCGGCGUGCCUAAUACAUGCAAGUCGAGCGAACAGAUGAGGAGCUUGCUCCUCUGACGUUAGCGGCGGACGGGUGAGUAACACGUGGAUAACCUACCUAUAAGACUGGGAUAACUUCGGGAAACCGGCGCUACUACCGGAUAAUAUAUUGAACCGCAUGGUUCAAUAGUGAAAGACGGUUUUGCUGUCACUUAUAGAUGGAUCCGCGCCGCAUUAGCUAGUUGGUAAGGUAACGGCUUACCAAGGCAACGAUGCGUAGCCGACCUGAGAGGGUGAUCGGCCACACUGGAACUGAGACACGGUCCAGACUCCUACGGGAGGCAGCAGUAGGGAAUCUUCCGCAAUGGGCGAAAGCCUGACGGAGCAACGCCGCGUGAGUGAUGAAGGUCUUCGGAUCGUAAAACUCUGUUAUUAGGGAAGAACAAAUGUGUAAGUAACUAUGCACGUCUUGACGGUACCUAAUCAGAAAGCCACGGCUAACUACGUG